AACGGGUGAGUAACGCGUGAGGAACCUGCCUCAAAGAGGGGGACAACAGUUGGAAACGACUGCUAAUACCGCAUAAGCCCACGGCUCGGCAUCGAGCAGAGGGAAAAGGAGUGAUCCGCUUUGAGAUGGCCUCGCGUCCGAUUAGCUGGUUGGUGAGGUAACGGCCCACCAAGGCGACGAUCGGUAGCCGGACUGAGAGGUUGAACGGCCACAUCGGGACUGAGACACGGCCCAGACUCCUACGGGAGGCAGCAUG
rnacentral:rRNA from 1 species